rnacentral:rRNA from 1 species
AGAGAACGCUGGCGGUAGGCCUAACACAUGCAAGUCGAACGGCAGCACAGUAAGAGCUUGCUCUUACGGGUGGCGAGUGGCGGACGGGUGAGGAAUACAUCGGAAUCUACUUUUUCGUGGGGGAUAACGUAGGGAAACUUACGCUAAUACCGCAUACGACCUACGGGUGAAAGCAGGGGAUCUUCGGACCUUGCGCGAUUGAAUGAGCCGAUGUCGGAUUAGCUAGUUGGCGGGGUAAAGGCACACCAAGGCGACGAUCCGUAGCUGGUCUGAGAGGAUGAUCGGCCACACUGGAACUGAGACACGGUCCAGACUCCUACGGGAGGCAGCAGUGGGGAAUAUUGGACAAUGGGCGCAAGCCUGAUCCAGCCAUACCGCGUGGGUGAAGAAGGCCUUCGGGUUGUAAAGCCCUUUUGUUGGGAAAGAAAAGCAGCAGGUUAAUACCCCGCUGUUCUGACGGUACCCAAAGAAUAAGCACCGGCUAACUUCGUG